rnacentral:tRNA from 1 species
GCCAGUUUGGCUCAGUAGGUAGAGCAUCAGCCUGCAGACUGAAGAGUUCCGGGUUCGACUCCGGCCAAGGGCA